UACACAAAUAUGAAGGCGGGCUGGAACCUCUCGGGGUUACAGCCUUGCUGAAUUAUUCACCCUUGUCUUUUGCGUACUUCUUGUUUCCUUGGUGGGUUCGCCCACCACUAGGACAAACAUAAACCUUUUGUAAUUGCAAUCAGCGUCAGUAACAAAUUAAUAAUUACAACUUUCAACAACGGAUCUCUUGGUUCUGGCAUCGAUGAAGAACGCAGCGAAAUGCGAUAAGUAGUGUGAAUUGCAGAAUUCAGUGAAUCAUCGAAUCUUUGAACGCACAUUGCGCCCUUUGGUAUUCCAAAGGGCAUGCCUGUUCGAGCGUCAUUUGUACCCUCAAGCUUUGCUUGGUGUUGGGCGUCUUGUCUCUAGCUUUGCUGGAGACUCGCCUUAAAGUAAUUGGCAGCCGGCCUACUGGUUUCGGAGCGCAGCACAAGUCGCACUCUCUAUCAGCAAAGGUCUAGCAUCCAUUAAGCCUUUUUUUCAACUUUUGACCUCGGAUCAGGUAGGGAUACCCG
rnacentral:rRNA from 1 species